AUGUAAAUGUACACGUCCUGCAGAUACAAUCAUUCGUGUACCGUGCAUUACUGUGCAGUGAACUGCUGUGCCAUCAUUCAUGUACAGCACGGUAUUCCCCUCCUCUAAGCACAUGCAUGCGAUGCUAUCAUUGGGUACAUGGAAUUGUGUACUUCGUAUUGCUAGCUUGAUCUGUCACAGAGACAAGUACCGCAGACUUCAUCCACCUUGUAUCCCCCACUACCACCACUGCUGUUUUGCUGCCUUCACGAUACAUUCACAUUUUAAGAAGGUUUGUGGCUUUUGCAAAGAAGAAUGGAAUCCGGUGUAAUCGUCUCUACCGAGGUCCUGCAUGGCUGCUGCAGUAGGCGGCACGCGCAUCGACCCAGGGUGUCCCUGCGACGAGUCCGAGAUGUACCCGGUGUUGGUUUUGAGUUCAGGCAUUGUGAUGGUGACAGCAACCUUUAUCGCAAGCCUACCCGGACGGAUCCGGUCGCCAUUGCCACUGAAUCACAGUUUUCAGACGACUGGGCACUUUUCGCAUUAAUAAUCGCUCUUCAUUGAGAUAUCUACCAUUCUUUCUUCUUUCUCACUAUUUUCUCCCCAACCCUCCUUCCCUGUAACACAAUAACACAUUCGCUGCCUUGUCACAUUUGUGCUCGUUUGGAUUAGCGAAUUCAAAUAAAGUAUACAAACAAACAAAACGAAUUUUUAGUAUCUCCUUCUUUGACUCAUAAAGCCUCGGCACGUAUCUUUCCACCACAUGAUAAGAGCAUAUCUGUCACUAUUAUACUGGCCAGUGCUCUGUAUCUGAAAUGGCCAAGCGGGACAGGUGGAAGCUAUUAGGACAUAUGUUACGCCAGCCAAGUGACAUCCCUGCAAAUGUUGCUCUCACUGCUUUCUGUACAUAUGCUACCAGUCAGCCCUUUCGAAUAGGUGCACCCCGCUCUUGCCUCACCACAAGUCUCCAGCGAGACGUUCGCUUCACACCUAUCUGCAUUUUUAAGCCCAGCUACCUUCGUGAUCUUGGCACCUAUGCCCGCGACAGAAAACAAUGGAGUAACAUCUGCUCAGCCAUUUAGUCUAGUACUGCUCUUCUUAAAUUUGACCUUUAUUACAAGACUCUUCUUUUCUUUUUCAUUUCGUUCUCCCACUCUCACACAAACAUGCUCACAGUUAAUUCUGCCGUCGUGAGUCCCAUUCGGGACGGAUACGAGAAUAAAAUAAAAAAAAAUAAAUAAAAA